rnacentral:rRNA from 1 species
GACGUAGGGGACGAGCGUUGUCCGGAUUCACUGGGCGUAAAGGGCGCGUAGGUGGCGACCCAAGUCCAUGGUGAAAGCUCGAUGCUCAACAUCGAGUCGGCCACGGAUACUGGGUUGCUGGAGCACUGUAGAGGCAGAUGGAAUUCCGGGUGUAGCGGUGGAAUGCGUAGAGAUCCGGAAGAACACCGGUGGCGAAGGCGGUCUGCUGGGCAGUUGCUGACACUGAGGCGCGACAGCGUGGGGAGCAAACAGG